UAAACAUUAAGCCAUGAGUGAAAACUCGACUUAAUUAAGACCAAAUAGAACCGGUAAAACUCGUGCCAGCCACCGCGGUUAUACGAGAGGUUCAAAUUGAUAAUCCACGGCGUAAAGCAUGAUUAGAGAAAAAACAAAACUAAAGCCAAACAUCCCCCAAGCCGUCAUACGCUUACGGAAGUAAGAAGUCCCACAACGAAAGUGGCCUUAAAACACCUUGAAUUCAUGAACGUUAAGAAACAAACUGGGAUUAGAUACCCCACUAUGCUUAACUGUAAACAACGAUGAUAAUAUACAGAUAUCAUCCGCCAGGGGACUACGAGCAUUAGCUUAAAACCCAAAGGACUUGGCGGUGCCUCAAACCCACCUAGAGGAGCCUGUUCUAUAACCGAUAACCCCCGUUCAACCUCACCACUCCUUGUCAUCCCAGCCUAUAUACCGCCGUCGCCAGCUUACCUCGUGAGAGUAUAAUAGUAAGCCAAAUGGGCCCCACCCAAAACGUCAGGUCGAGGUGUAGCAAAUGAAGUGGGAAGAAAUGGGCUACAUUUUCUAACCCAGAAUAUUACGAAAAGUGCCAUGAAACAAGCA
rnacentral:rRNA from 1 species